CAGAACUUCACAGGCGCGUGGGGGUGAGGUGGUGCUGGAUGUGCAGGCAGGGGAAGUAUUUAGCUAGAGCCGUUUUGCUGUGUUUCUUCAUCAGUCAAUACUGUGCGCAACAAAUGGAUGGGCAGCCCGUGGCACUUCGCCCCUACAACACCGUGGGGAAAAAAAUAAGACAAAAAAUGGAGAAGAAAUGAGAAGCACGGGUGGGCAGUGAGGUGUCAGGAGACAAAUCUUUCCAGUGCAGACAAAUCCAUCUUCCCUGAAGUUUCAUCACCUCUAACACCAAUGUCACCAAGGGCGUAUUUGCACGGCUGGGUAUGCCCAGUCCCAAAGCAGGAGCGCCCGCCGCACAUCAGCAGCACUGUUCCCAUCCCACUCACACCUCGCUCCACAAGCAGCUGCGGCCUGGGGAGAGGAGAUGCUGUGCCUUGCUGCUCCUCCAGCAACUUCACAAAGUCAUUGCAAAGACACCCCUGAGAAUGCUGCUUUGCCCGGAGAUGCCGCGAUAUACAGAAAGCAGCCGAAUGGAUUUUCUGAAAGCAUUUUUCCUCCUUCUAAAGGCUCCGCUGCCAUUCUGGCAAAGUGUAUCCUUGUCAGUCAGCGGCUAACCUUGUCAAGGGGAAGAAAAGGCUGGGAAGUGACAGGUUUGACAACCUGUCGGAUGCCUGGUGCUCUGCUCUCCUCCCGAUCUGAUCGCUAUCAAACAUUAAACCACUGUUCCCCCACGCAGGAGUGCAACUCGAUGCCUGCGAGCCUCAGCCAAGGCUGAUAGCGAGCUGGGAAGCUGCCAGCAGCCCUGCUUCGCCCCUGCCUUGCGUGUCCUCCUAUGAGCUGAUCUCUGAACGUGUCACACCAGGAACGGUCCCUCAGGAGUCCCAGAUAGGUCACCGAAACCGUGAUUGGCUUUCAGGAAGACGAGAACUAGAGAUGGGUGGUGGAGCUGUAACUCUGCAAGGAGAGAUGAGGGUGACAGCUGCCCGGUUGCCAGCCUGCAGAGCCUCGCCUGCAAAUCGAACUCCGAGCUCAGAAACCCUGGAUGGACCACAAUUUCCCUCUCCCCUCCAGCAAAGCAAGCAGCCCCUCCCAUGCCACAUGUAGCAAACCCCAGCACAUUGCACAUCAUUCACUCAGUUCUUACACACCCACUCAAUGAGAUCAUCUCAACAUAAGGAAUCUCUUUCCGCGUGUUCAGAAGGGACAGAAUAUUUUAAUUCAUCUUUCUCCCCCCCCACACACAAAACCUCUGCUUUCCGGAGCAGCUUGCCUUCAAGAUUCAUGAGCAGAAGCAGCAGCACUGGCUGCACUACCCUGCUCUUGAUGCUCCUUAAUUCCACUGACGCUGCAGGAGACAACGGCUGAAUAGUCAGGAGGAAAAAGCAUCUUGCAAUCAGGAGCUUAGCUGCACUAAGUGAAGCAGGAGAUGCAGCACGUACCCAAAGAGGCCAUUAAGCCAACAGAUUCCAAGGACAGACUACAAGUAGCAAUUACGUUGUUCUUUCACAGCGCUAAUAUUAAGCUUAUGGAAAGAUGGCUCACUCUCCUCCCCGUGGGCUUGAGUCAAAACCUGCAUUUGUUUAACAUCAAUUUGUUUUCCAAAGACCUCAGCAGCAAAAGCAAGGUGCCUGCUGCGCAGCCCAGCUGCUUCAGCACAACGCCCAACAAGCAAGCGAGCUUCAGCAACAGGCAGUUUGGUGCUUUGAGUCCCAGCAGGCUUCUGAGCUCCUCACAACACUCUCCGUUCAAAUGCAAUUGCAAAUGGAAAGUAGGAAGGUGAGCAACACCCCCGCCAGAGAAUCCGUAAGCAGCACCACAUCAGUAAGAUGGGAUUUGCACAGCAUUGCCCACCAGCCCACCACCAGCAGCGCCUUGUAGCUCUGAACGGAGACAAAAACAAGCUUGUGCCAAGCUUAGAAUUCAGCCAGGGAUCUGGGGGGAGAAAAUGAAACAGUGAGAACAUUCUUCUCUUUAAAAAGCAGCAUUUCACAUCUCCUGUGUACUUCCAGGCUCGUUCCCUUGCAGCAGGCAGCUCGCCGCUCACUUCGCUUUCAGCACGUGCAGCAGCGAAGCCUCAUCAAGCACAGCAUCGCUCCUCUCCUCCCAUUAUCACUCUGUGCUGUGACUAAAGCUCCUCGUUCCCAGGUGAGCAGCUCUUACUGUGCCCCCUGAACCGCAGGGCCGGAGGGCACCGACAGAGGCAAAGGGAUUUAUUCACUGCACAGAAGCCGGGCAGCGCGAGCACGUGGCUCCCCGGGAGAAGGGGAGGGCAGGAAUCAAUGAGAAAUCAACAGUGAUUAAUGCUGUUUGACAAUCUUUUGCAUUAAUCACGUUUCCACGCUCUCGAGAAUGUGAAGUGGAAAAUCUAUAGUCAUAAAAAGCGUAAUUGGGAACGCUCUUUCUCCUCGCGCCAAGGCGACGGAAGGGGAAUCUGAAGAAAUAAUAAUUAUGAAAUGCUGAAUUUAAAUGAUACGCACAAUAGCACCUGCUCGUUGAUAGCAAACCUGCAGAGCAAACCGAGCCUGGUAUCCUCCCGCAUGCUGCAAAGGGCUGCUCUGACAACCAUCUCUUCAUCUGCUCCCUCAGCCCCACCAUUAACAACCUGAUAAAGAAUUCAUAAACACACACACACCUCGCACAAGUUAAAAUACAGCCAUAACAAAGAGUCAAUCACUCUUUCUGGAGAACAAGCUACGAGAUGCCACAGAAAGCAAUGAUGUCUUCAUUGGCUUUUACAGUAAACAUCCCUCUCGGAAAGCAGCCUUUAUGACCCAACCAAGGGCAAUAAAGAUGUCUUUGCAAAUUGAUGAGACAAAUACUUCAGAGGCAUAGUUUCCUCCAUAGCUAGCGUGAAACGGAGGGUAAUGCCAUUCUCUACAGUCACAGAGCAGAAUAAAGACCUUCAUCCUUCUUGUGACGAGCCCACACCUGGACAAAGUGAGGGUCAAGCACAGUGAGGGUGUUAAGCACACUGCCAGUACAGCUGUGUGCUGAAGCUUCACGUGGAACAGUGAGGGCCAUUCGCUGUGACAGCUUUUCACCACGAAUUGCAAAGAGUUCCAGAGCUGCACAACAAAUAACAGGAAAGGAAAGCAGAAAGAAAAUGAGGAGCAUCUGAUACACAGCAGAGCUGAUCCGAGAUCCUCCUUGUGCUAACAAGGUAUGAUGCUGACCAACCACAUUAUACAGAAAAGCCAUUUUUCAGCAAGGACCGAAUUACCAGAAGCUGAAGAAAUUAAAUUUCCACGUCUAAACUUGUAGUCUUAAAAUCGAGUUUUAUCCAAGCUCUUCUGCUAGCAUCAAAACCAGAUACCUUUGAUACAUCUGUAGACAGAAGCACACCAGUGC
rnacentral:lncRNA from 1 species